AGUGAACGCUGGCGGUAGGCCUAACACAUGCAAGUCGAACGGCAGCACAGUAAGAGCUUGCUCUUACGGGUGGCGAGUGGCGGACGGGUGAGGAAUACAUCGGAAUCUACUUUUUCGUGGGGGAUAACGUAGGGAAACUUACGCUAAUACCGCAUACGACCUACGGGUGAAAGCAGGGGAUCUUCGGACCUUGCGCGAUUGAAUGAGCCGAUGUCGGAUUAGCUAGUUGGCGGGGUAAAGGCCCACCAAGGCGACGAUCCGUAGCUGGUCUGAGAGGAUGAUCAGCCACACUGGAACUGAGACACGGUCCAGACUCCUACGGGAGGCAGCAGUGGGGAAUAUUGGACAAUGGGCGCAAGCCUGAUCCAGCCAUACCGCGUGGGUGAAGAAGGCCUUCGGGUUGUAAAGCCCUUUUGUUGGGAAAGAAAAGCAGCAGGUUAAUACCCCGCUGUUCAGACGUUACCCAAAGAAUAAGCACCGGCUAACUUCGUG
rnacentral:rRNA from 1 species